rnacentral:rRNA from 1 species
AUGGAUAAGAACACGACCCCCGUCCGCGCGGUCACACUGCUCCUCAUCAUCAUAUGCCUCCUUGCUACCGAGGCGCGAUGCCGGACCAUGGACGACGGCGGCGAGAAUAUCAGUUUGCCCUACGGGUUGUGCGUCUACGAUAAGAGGUCGUUUGCGUGCAAGGGCGAGCGCUGCUACUGCUGUCGCGUGGCCGUGGAAGUCUGUUAUUUGUCGAUGAAGGAGUGCAUGACGGAGUGCGUCAAGAAAAUGGGUCCACCACCGGCGGCCCGGGGCGGCGGCGGCAACGCCUCUCCGGUAGCUUAG